AUGCGUGCUGUCCUGACCUUGGGUAACUCAGCUGCCCCGUCUCCCAGGUGCCUCUUCUCUCAGGUCCCAGGUGCAAGUGCUACGUGGUCUUCGACAUGCAGCCCAGAUUCAGCAUCUCCACGCAUACCCUCGGUGGCAUGGAUUUCUCAGAGCCCUGGACUCGCUCACCUUGGACUCGCACUGCACCGGCUGGCGGCUCGUCUCCCUCCCCCCCCAAGAAUGGGAGGAGCUCCGAGGCAGGAGAGGACCCAGCCCGCCCACCUGGCUCUUAUCUCCAGUAUCCACUCCGAUUGUGGAUCUUUGACCUUCACCCUGGAUGUGUUUGUCUCUGGCUCCCUGGGACCUCUAGUCACGGUGCCUCCUCUUCUCUGAGCACAAUUCUUCUGGGACCUUCUUCUCCUCUUCUGUAGGCUCAGGGGUGAGUCUGGAAGAGAAGCUGGUGUACCCCGUUCCUGUCCUACAUACUCCUGUCUAUCUCAGGACAGCACCCCUGCUCCUCCAAGGAGUUUCUCCUUCCUUGCUGGUCAUGGAACCUCUCAGAAGCAAGGCAAGAGCAGCUGAUGAAGGGGUCACAGCCACCGAGAGGAGGCCAGUGGGUGGAAUUCGCAGCAACCGCAGCUCUGAGGUUUGGAAGACAAACAACUUCUGUUUCAGACAAAUGGGAGUGUCAGGUUCUUCCAGCCUGAUGAGAUUACAGCUCAGAGGAUCACGAGGAAUCGAUUCCUCCAGAAGAGGAAAAACACAGCUGGCACAGGAGCUCUGCAGAGCCUUCUGCUAAAGGUAACACGGGGUCACAGGCUGCGAGGUUCCAGGUGAGGAAGAGAUUAGGGCACGUGCAUCAAGCCCCAGAUAUGGGAAGUGGUGGAUCCAGGGUACGUCGUGAACGUUUGGUGAUGGAAGCAUGACUGGCGUUUCAGAGGCACCAGCUUCUGGGUCCCUUCUGUCUGUCCAGACAAGGCAGAGGAGACAGGAGGAGUUCAGA
rnacentral:lncRNA from 1 species